ACCCGCACAAGCGGUGGAUGAUGUGGAUUAAUUCGAUGCAACGCGAAAACCUUACCUACGCUUGACAUGUCUGGAAUCCUGUAGAGAUGCGGGAGUGCUCGAAAGAGAGCCAGAACACAGGUGCUGCAUGGCUGUCGUCAGCUCGUGUCGUGAGAUGUUGGGUUAAGUCCCGCAACGAGCGCAACCCUUAUCAUUAGUUGCUACGAAAGGGCACUCUAAUGAGACUGCCGGUGACAAACCGGAGGAAGGUGGGGAUGACGUCAAGUCCUCAUGGCCCUUAUGCGUAGGGCUUCACACGUCAUACAAUGGUCGGUACAGAGGGUCGCCAACCCGCGAGGGGGAGCCAAUCCCUUAAAACCGAUCGUAGUCCGGAUUGCAGUCUGCAACUCGACUGCAUGAAGUCGGAAUCGCUAGUAAUCGCGGAUCAGAAUGUCGCGGUGAAUACGUUCCCGGGUCUU
rnacentral:rRNA from 1 species